AGGUCGUGAUGUGGGCAAUUCCUUAGCAAGCUCUUGUACCUCUCCCAAGCUUCAUAAUGACUCUACAGCUUGUUUUUCAAAGUUGGCUAUGACUUUUUUGAGCUU